CCGAGCGUCAUUACCACACCUCGAGCCCUGCUCGGCAUUGGGCCGCGCCGGUCUUGUACCGGCCGUCCCUAAAUCCAGUGGUGACCCUCCCUUGCCCCGCGUGCAGUAAUCUAUUCUCGCGAGGGGGCCUUGGGCUGGGACCGUCAACAUACCUACGUUAAGUUGACCUCGGAUCAGGUAGGACUACCCGCUGAACUUAA
rnacentral:misc_RNA from 1 species